rnacentral:rRNA from 1 species
AGCGAACGCUGGCGGCAGGCUUAACACAUGCAAGUCGAGCGGCCAUCCUUGUGGUGUUAGCGGCAGACGGGGGAGUAACGCGUGGGAACGUGCCCUACGGUUCGGAAUAACUCAGGGAAACUUGAGCUAAUACCGGAUACGUGCGAGAGCAGAAUGGUUUAUCUGCCGAAGAGUCGGCGCGCGUCUGAUUAGCUAGUUGGUGAGGUUACGGCUCACCAAUGCGACGAUCAGUAGCUGGUCUGAGAGGAUGAUCAGCCACACUGGGACUGGGACACGGCCCAGACUCCUGCGGGAGGCAGCAGUGGGGAAUAUUGGCCAAUGGGGUCAACCCUGAUCCAGCCAUGCCGCGUGAGUGAUGACGGCCUUAGGGUUGUAAAGCUCUUUUCUCCGGGACGAUAAUGACGGUACCGGAGGAAUAAGCCCCGGCUAACUUCGUG